GACUCCGUAGCUCAGCUGUGAGAGCGUCACCUUUACAGGGUGGAGAGGUCGCUGGCUCGAGCUCAGCCGGAAUCA
rnacentral:tRNA from 1 species